GGACUUAGGAUUUAAGAUUUCUCGAAUUUUAUAGGGCUAAGAAGGUAUAUAUUUUAUUGUGGAAUAACUAUUUGGAAUACCUUUUUUGUAAUGAAACAUUAGUCGUUUUUGAAUAUAUCUAGUUUCUUAAGAAAUUAAUUUAAUUAAGCCAUUUCGUAAUAUGUUUUUUUAUAAAAUUUUUUUUGGGGAUGGGUAAUAUUUAAAGGGAUAAGCUUUUAAAUAAAUUAUUAAAAUAUUUUUUAGUUUAAGAUUAAAUAGGAAUAGAAGUUUUCAUUUUAUGCAGUGAGUUGUAUCAGGAUUUUAAUUUAAGGGAUUUUUGGGUAUUUAAGUUUUUUAUUAAGAAAAGGAAUUUAAUUUUGAGUUUUCAGGUAUAAUGAUGAAAUUAGUAUAUUUUAGUGUAAUUGUAAUUUUUACUUGGGAGAUUAGGUUAAGGAAUUCGGCAAAUUUGUUCUCUGCCUGUUUAUUAAAAACAUGGCCUUUUGAUUAUAAUUUAAGGUCUGGCCUGCCCAAUGAUGGAUUUAAUGGCCGCGGUACUCUGACCGUGCAAAGGUAGCAUAAUCAUUAGUUUUUUAAUUGAAAGCUGGAAUGAACGGUCGGACAAGGGAAAUGCUGUCUUUACUUGAUUAGUAGAAUUUUAUUUUUUAGUCAGAAAGCUUAAAUGAGUUUGAGGGACGAGAAGACCCUAUAGAAUUUUAUAAGUAAUUUUUGGGUUUAUUUUAGGAUUGAUUGAGUUUAUCGGGGAAGUACUUAUUUUGUUGGGGUGAUGGAAAAAUUUAAGAAACUUUUUUUACUGAGUUACACUGAUUUGUGUAUUAUUGAUCCACAGAUUGUGAUUACAAGAUUAAAUUACCUUAGGGAUAACAGCGUUAUUAGUUUGGAGAGUUCUUAUCGAUAGACUAGUUUGCGACCUCGAUGUUGGAUUAAAAUAAACUUAUGGUGUAGGGGCUAUGAAGUUAAGUCUGUUCGACU
rnacentral:rRNA from 1 species